rnacentral:rRNA from 1 species
UACGGAGGAUCCAAGCGUUAUCCGGAUUUAUUGGGUUUAAAGGGUGCGUAGGCGGCCUGUUAAGUCAGGGGUGAAAGACGGUAGCUCAACUAUCGCAGUGCCCUUGAUACUGAUGGGCUUGAAUGGACUAGAGGUAGGCGGAAUGAGACAAGUAGCGGUGAAAUGCAUAGAUAUGUUAUAGAACACCGAUUGCGAAGGCAGCUAACUAAGCAUAUAUUGACGCUGAGGCACGAAAGCGUGGGGAUCAAACAGG